rnacentral:rRNA from 1 species
AUUGAACGCUGGCGGCAGGCUUAACACAUGCAAGUCGAACGAGUGGCGGACGGGUGAGUAAUGCUUGGGAAUCUAGCUUAUGGAGGGGGAUAACUACGGGAAAAUGUAGCUAAUACCGCGUACCAUAGGAUGAGCCCUAGUGGGAUUAGGUAGUUGGUGAGGGAAAGGCUCACCAAGCCGGCGCGCUCUAGCUGGUCUGAGAGGAUGACCAGCCACACGGGGAUGGAGCAACGGCCCAGACCCCUACGGGAGGCAUCCGUGGGGAAUAUUGCACAAUUGGCGCAAGCCUGAUGCAGCCAUGCCGCGGGUAUGAAGAAGGCCUUAGGGUUGUAAAGUACUUUCAGCGGGGAGGAGUUACUCGCAGAAGAAGCACCGGCCAACUCCGUGCCAGGAGCCGCGGUAAUUC